UACGGAGGGUGCGAGCGUUGUCCGGAAUCACUGGGCGUAAAGGGCGCGUAGGCGGCGCGGGCAGUCAACGGUGAAAGCUUGGGGCUCAACCCCGAGUCGGCCGUCGAUACUCCCGGGCUUGAGCACUGUAGAGGCAGGUGGAAUUCCGGGUGUAGCGGUGGAAUGCGUAGAGAUCCGGAAGAACACCGGUGGCGAAGGCGGCGACCUGGUCCAUUACUGACGCUGAGGCGCGACAGCGUGGGGAGCAAACAGG
rnacentral:rRNA from 1 species